CCCUUAGAUGUUCGGGGCCGCACGCGCGCUACACUGAAGGAAUCAGCACGUCUUUCUCCUUGUCCGAAAGGACUGGGUAACCCGCUGAACCUCCUUCGUGCUAGGGAUUGGGGCUUGUAAUUCUUCCCCAUGAACGAGGAAUUCCCAGUAAGCGCGAGUCAUAAGCUCGCGUUGAUUACAUCCCUGCCCUUUGUACACACCGUCCGUCGCUACUACCGAUUGGAUGGUUUAGUGAGAUCCUCGGAUUGGUCCCGGAGCGGCCUCUGGUCGUGCCGGAGUGCCGAAAAGAAUGUCGAACUUGAUCAUCUAGAGGAAGUAAAAGUCGUAACA
rnacentral:rRNA from 1 species